rnacentral:rRNA from 1 species
CCUACGGGUGGCUGCAGUGGGGAAUAUUGGACAAUGGGGGCAACCCUGAUCCAGCCAUGCCGCGUGUGUGAAGAAGGCCCUCGGGUUGUAAAGCACUUUCAGUGAGGAAGAACGCCUGGUGGUUAAUACCCAUCAGGAAAGACAUCACUCACAGAAGAAGCACCGGCUACACUCCGUGCCAGCAGCCGCGGUAAUACGGAGGGUGCGAGCGUUAAUCGGAAUUACUGGGCGUAAAGCGCGCGUAGGUGGCUUGAUAAGCCGGUUGUGAAAGCCCCGGGCUCAACCUGGGAACGGCAUCCGGAACUGUCAAGCUAGAGUGCAGGAGAGGAAGGUAGAAUUCCCGGUGUAGCGGUGAAAUGCGUAGAGAUCGGGAGGAAUACCAGUGGCGAAGGCGGCCUUCUGGACUGACACUGACACUGAGGUGCGAAAGCGUGGGUAGCAAACAGGAUUAGAUACCCCAGUAGUC